UACGAAGGGGCUAGCGUUGUUCGGAAUUACUGGGCGUAAAGGGUCUGUAGGUGGCCAACUAAGUCAGACGUGAAAUCCCUCAGCUUAACUGGGGAACUGCGUCUGAUACUGGAUGGCUUGAGUGUGGGAGAGGAAUGCGGAAUUCCAGGUGUAGCGGUGAAAUGCGUAGAUAUCUGGAGGAACACCGGUGGCGAAGGCGGUCUUCUGGACGGUGACUGACGCUGAGGCGCGAAGCGUGGGGAGCAAACGGG
rnacentral:rRNA from 1 species